UGACUGGCCUAUAUAUUAUCAAGUCUAUGGUAUCAAAAUGAAUAUACAAACAGCAGAGGAAACAGAUGUGAAGUGUUAAAACAAAAAAAAAGAGAAUACCAAAAAUCUUUUCUUAGUGCGUGUGUACAGAGAGAUAAUAAGGUAAAUGUGAAAUGCUAAGGUACCCACAUAUAUUAUAAUC